GUAGGUAUAGUUCAGUGGCAGAGUGCGUGCUUAGCAUGCACAAGGUCCUGGGUUCAAUCCCUAGAACCUCCA
rnacentral:tRNA from 1 species